CAGUCUCCUACAGAUGUAAACACAAACAUCACAGCACCGUAUGUGGAUUCAUUGAGCUUCAUCACUUCUAUCGGCUGCGGCAUCUCCAUGUUUUUUCUGUCCGUCGCUCUGUUCAUGCAUUUCCUGUUACGGAAAGCCAAAUCAAAUCAGGCCACAAAGAUCUUGAUCAACAUGUUUGUGGCUUUGUUUCUCCUGAAUUUAUCCUUUUUGUCAAACGAGAGCGUCGCCAACACAGAAGUCAAUGUUGCGUGCAUCCUCAUAGCGCUGCUCAUGCAUUACUCCAUGCUGGCUACAUUCACCUGGUUCUUCAUUCAAGCUCUUCACAUGUACUUAUGGCUCCUCAGACAGAACAUCACCAUCACAAACUACGUGAGGAAGAUCACCGUGUUCGGCUGGACAUUUUCAGCUCCGAUAGUCGUAGCUGUUGUUUCAUUAGGAGGAUAUAAAUCAUUGACUAUAACCACAACGUCUGGAAAAAACCAAAAAUGUGCUGGAUUACAGAUCCUUUAAUUCACUACAUAGUGAACAUUGGCUACUACGCUUUAGUUUUCUUCUUCACGACAGGGUCUUCAUCAUGAUCGUCACUAAGAUUGUCCAAGCCCGACACAUAAAAGCAGCUGAUGGCAAGAGAAAGACGUUCAGAAAGCAGCUCAUGAUGGUGUUGAGUUUGUUCCUGCUCUUCGGCCUGACGUGGGCUGUGGCGUUCUUCAGUUAUGGAGUGAUGCUCAUUCCCUCAUAUUACAUCUUCACCGUGUUGAACUCGUUUCAGGGGUUUUUCCUCUUCCUGUAUUACUACCACAUUCACAAUGAUGUUGCGGGAAAUUUUUCCGAUGAUCCAGAAAGCUCCAGCUCCACCACAACCAUCGUUCAAUCCGGAAUGAAUGCUGUGGAAAAUAUUUAUAAUUAGCAUAAUUAAAGAUUAAGGUGUCUGACUCUGGACUGAUUUUUUUAUGGGCAUGGCUCCAACAAUCAACAAGUUCACCGACACACCCACCCUCAGCCAGGAGGAGGCACUGAUGCUCUACUCUGUUUAACACAUACAUAACAGAUUGUCAAACACAAUCUUCCUUAAUAAACAAACAAAAAAACUCAGUAUUUCCGAAAAAACACACUUAUAUGAUUCUUAACAUUAAAUACACCAUAUUCCUCCUCUGAAAAUACAACAAUCAAAAAUACAAAACGCACAACAGAAAAAAAAAAAAAAAAAUCAAAUAGCCAUACAACAACAAAAUAAUUAGGCACCCCCUUUUUCAGGUUGCAGAUGUUUUUUUUUUUUUUUUUUUCUUUACAAAUUUAACCUCAGUUGAACUCUUUUUUUUUUUUUUUUUUUACCUAACAGGGUCGAGUAUAAACAGACUCUUUCGAUUCUUCUGGUUCAACCAUUACAUUUUUUACUCUGUCUCAACACAGGACUUAAGUUCAACAUUGUUUGUGAGGUGUAACAAGUUCUUUGCUGAAAGUGCUUCUGCAUCCUGUUCAGUAGCCAUUAAUUUUGUUGCUCUUAACUGAUCUGCAUGCUUUUUGUAUGACUUUCCCUCAACACAGACCGGAUAAGUAACUGGAGCUAACAAGUCUUUCAAUUUCUCCUAACUUCCACUUCUCUUCCCCUCCCAUGAACUGUUUCACAAGUACCUUUUGCUGUAGAUAAAAUACUCUCACAUGAGCUAACUUUGUUUUUUGUACUUACUGUUUGUUGUAUCUGAAACAACCUCGUUCUAAUUUUUCUUUUCAGAAACAAUUAGGAUGGAGUUUUCCCUGUAAAACUCAAGGGAGCAUUUCUGUAAAUGAAUAAAAAUUUGUCAAUACAA